CCUACGGGAGGCAGCAGUGAGGAAUUUUUGUCAAUGGGCGCGAGCCUGAACCAGCCAAGUCGCGUGAGGGAAGACGGUCCUAUGGAUUGUAAACCUCUUUUGUCGGGGAGCAAAAGACGCCACGCGUGGCGUUUCUAGAGUACCUGAAGAAAAAGCAUCGGCGAACUCUGUGCCAGCAGCCGCGGUAAUACGGAGGAUGCGAACGUUAUCCGGAUCUAUUGGGUGUAAAGGGAGCGCAGGCGGAGGAACAAGUCCGGGGUAAAAUGGAAAGGCUUAACCUCAUCGAGCCGUUGAAACUGGUAUUCUUGAGUGAGUUAGAGGGAUGCGGAAUGCGAGGUGGAGCGGUGAAAUGCAUAGAUAUAACGCAGAACUCCGAUUGCGAAGGCAGCAAACCGGCGCUCAACUGACGCUUAGGCACGAAAGUGUGGGUAGCGAACAGGAUUAGAUACCCCGGUAGUC
rnacentral:rRNA from 1 species